rnacentral:rRNA from 1 species
UGAGUACGAGAUGCUACGGCGUCGAAGCAGUCUAGGUCAUACUUCCAAGAAAAGCUUGCACUGUCAUAAACAAAGAAUGCCUGUACCAUAACCGACACAGGUGGGUAGGUAGAGUAUACUAAGGGGCGCGAGAUAACUCUCUCUAAGGAACUCGGCAAAAUGACUCCGUAACUUCGGGAGAAGGAGUGCCUUAUUUUUAAGGUUGCAAUAACAAGAUCCAAGCAACUGUUUACCAAAAACACAGGUCUCCGCUAAGUCGUAAGACGAUGUAUGGGGGCUGACGCCUGCCCAGUGCCAGAAGGUUAAAGAAGUUGGUUAGCAUUUGCGAAGCUGAUAACUGAAGCCCUGGUGAACGGCGGCCGUAACAAUAACGGUCCUAAGGUAGCGAAAUUCCUUGUCGGGUAAGUUCCGACCCGCACGAAAGGCGUAAUGAUUUGGAUACUGUCUCGGAGAGGGGCUCGGUGAAAUAGACUUGUCUGUGAAGAUGCGGACUACCUGCACCUGGACAGAAAGACCCUAUGAAGCUUUACUGUAACUUGAGAUUGAAAUUGGACUUUAUUUGCGCAGUAUAGGUGGGAGGCGUUGAGAAUGAUCUUGCGGGAUUAUCGGAGCCAUCAGUGAGAUACCACUCUUGUAAUGUUAGAUUUCUAACUUUGUAUCAUUAUCUGGUCAAAGAACAGUUUCAGGCGGGCAGUUUGACUGGGGCGGUCGCCUCCCAAAGGGUAACGGAGGCGCACAAAGGUUUCCUCUGAACGGGUAGAAAUCGUAUCUAGAGUGUAAAGGCAUAAGGAAGCUUGACUGUGAGACCUACAAGUCGAGCAGGGACGAAAGUCGGUCUUAGUGAUCUGACGGUGCUGAGUGGAAAGGCCGUCACUCAACGGAUAAAAGUUACUCUAGGAUAACAGGCUGAUCUCCCCCAAGAGUUCACAUCGACGGGGAGGUUUGGCACCUCGAUGUCGGCUCAUCGCAUCCUGGGGCGGUAGUACGUCCCAAGGGUUGGGCUGUUCGCCCAUGAAAGCGGUACGCGAGCUGGGUUCAGAACGUCGUGAGACAGUUCGGUCCAUAUCCGGUGUAGGCGUUAGAAUAUUGAAAGGAGCCUUCUCUAGUACGAGAGGACCGAGAAGGACAUACCUCUGGUGUGCCAGUUAUCGUGCCAACGGUAAACGCUGGGUAGCUAUGUAUGGAGUGGAUAACCGCUGAAAGCAUCUAAGUGGGAAGCCCACCUUAAGAUAAG